rnacentral:rRNA from 1 species
UUCUAGGGUCAUGCCAGCCUGAAUGUACUUGAUCUUUUCUGAUCUUAGAAGCUGAGCAGGGUUGGGCCUGCUUGAUACUUGGAUGGGAGAAGUUCACACGCCCCAUUUACAGCCAUGUCACCCUGUACG